UUAAAUCAAUUUAAUCAAAUCAAACUCUAAUGCACCUAACUAGGGUUUAAUUUGAAUCAAAUCCGAUUAAGUCCCAAUGCAUAUACAUAGAAUUUAAUCAAUCCCUCACCUUAGGGUGAACAAUAUUGUUGAGCACUGAAACAUAUAGAGCCCAAUCAAAUCAAUUUGAUCAUAUACUUUGAUUCAGAAUUAAGUUCAAUCAACCGUCAUAUUCAUUCAUGUACACUGGGGGUAUGCCCCAGGUUAAGCCAUGUAACUAUACAUUGGAUUAUGUUAUAAAAUUCACAUUUUAUUCAAUUUCAGUCUAUUUCAGCAUUACAGAGGUCUCUUAAUCGAAGGUGCCCUAACACUUUGAAGGGGUAAUUAACAAUAGACGCUUGCGUUUAUUGGAAGCCAUGAAUCCACAAUACCUGACAA
rnacentral:lncRNA from 1 species